rnacentral:lncRNA from 1 species
GCAUAUCCAGAAUAUAUGCAACGAAGAGCCUAUGGCAUUGUUGACAGCGAAGAGAUUUAUUCAAAAUUUCUCUGUAGUACUCAUACUUCACGGAACAAAAUGGGCAGGCAGUCCAGAAAGUACGGCGCACACCGUUCUGCUGCUGCGGAGGCUGCUUAUUUUGCUGCUGUGGAGGCUGCUGGGUGUUCGAGUUUGUAAAAUUGGUCCUGACAUUGUUUUUCGUUGCAGAAUUGAAAUUCGUAGGAACCUUCGGUUGAUUAGAACGCGGCGGCAUAGCAGUUUUGUUCACAUUAAGCUUCAUGUCAUACCUAGUUCGUUUUUCU